UUUCAUAAUAUUCAAAUACUUUUCGUUUCAGUGAGUUUUCAAAAGAAAGAGAAAAAGCAAAAGAGAGGGGUGACUUUCACAAACUUAGAGAAAAACAGCAAAUUGAAGAAGAUCUCAGAGGCUAUUAGAAUUGGAUAACACAAGCUGUACAUUAAUGGUGGAAGCUUGGAACAGCUUUUUCGGAAAAAUAAGCAUAUUGAAUUGUCAUGGGAGACAAGAAUUAAACUGCCAUUAGAUAUAGCUCAUGGCAUAUGUUACUUGCAUUCCCGUGGUGUUUUUCGCCGAGUUCUUACUUCAAAGAAUACAAAAUGUUCCGUGUGUGAUGGUUGCAUCUUUCGAAGAUUUUCUUUAUAUCUAUGAACUGAACCUUGAAAUGGGAAGAGAUCGUAUUUAAAUAAAACAGCACAGGUUAGAAGGACCACUUAGACCUACUACAAAGAAUUCAAGUCGUGCUUUGUCCAAAUUUGAACCUCAUUCAACGAGUCAUCCUGUUGAGUCUGUG